rnacentral:rRNA from 1 species
AUUGAACGCUGGCGGCAUGCCUAACACAUGCAAGUCGAACGGCAGCACAGCAGUAGCAAUACUGUGGGUGGCGAGUGGCGGACGGGUGAGGAAUACGUCGGAAUCUGCCCAGUCGUGGGGGAUAACUAGCCGAAAGGUUAGCUAAUACCGCAUACGACCGAGAGGUGAAAGCGGGGGACCGCAAGGCCUCGCGCGAUUGGAUGAGCCGACGUCGGAUUAGCUAGUUGGCGGGGUAAAGGCCCACCAAGGCGACGAUCCGUAGCUGGUCUGAGAGGAUGAUCAGCCACACUGGAACUGAGACACGGUCCAGACUCCUACGGGAGGCAGCAGUGGGGAAUAUUGGACAAUGGGCGCAAGCCUGAUCCAGCAAUGCCGCGUGUGUGAAGAAGGCCU